ensembl:lncRNA
GUGGGGGGGGACCCAUAGAUGGCAGAUCCCAUAGGGUGGGGGUCCCAUAGGGUGGGGGUCCCAUAGGGUGGGGUCCCCAUAGAUGGCAGAUCCCAUAGGGUGGGGGUCCCAUAGGGUGGGGGGUCCCAUGGGGUGGGGGGGCCCAUAGAUGGCAGAUCCCAUAGGGUGGGGGGGCCCCAUAGAUGGCAGAUCCCAUAGGGUGGGGGUCCCAUAGGGUGGGGGGGCCCAUAGAUGGCAGAUCCCAUUGGCUGGGGGGGUCCCAUAGAUGUCAGAUCCCAUAGGGUGGGGGUUCCCUUAGGGUGGGGGGGUCCCAUAGAUGGCAGAUCCCAUAGGGUGGGGGGGUCCCAUAGAUGGCAGAUCCCAUAGGGUGGGGGUCCCAUAGGGUGGGGUCCCAUUGGGUGGGGGGGACCCAUAGAUGGGAGAUCCCAUAGGGUGGGGGUUCCCAUUGGCUGGGGGGGUCCCAUAGAUGGCAGAUCCCAUAGGGUGGGGGUCCCAUAGGGUGUGGGGGUCCCCAUAGACGGCAGAUCCCAUAGGGUGCGGGGUCCCAAAGAUAAGAGAUCCCAUAGGGUGGGGGUCCCAUUGGCUGAGGGGGGCUCAUAGAUGGGAGAUCCCAUAGGGUGGGGGUCCCAUAGGGUGGGGGGGUCCCAUAGAUAAGACAUCCCAUAGAGUGGGGGAUCCUAUGGGUGGGGGGGUCCCAUGGAUGGCAGAUCCCAUAGGGGUGGGGGGGUCCCAUAGAUGGCAGAUCCCAUUGGGUGGGGGUCCCAUAGGGUGGGGUCCCAUUGGGUGGGGGGGUCCCAUAGAUGGCAGAUCCCAUAGGGUGGGGGUUCCCAUAGGGUGGGGGGGCCCAUAGAUGGCAGAUCCCAUAGGGUGGGGGGGUCCCAUAGAUAAGAGAUCCCAUAGGGUGGGGUGGCCCCAUAGAUGGCAGAUCCCAUUGGGUGGGGGUCCCAUUGGCUGGGGGGGUCCCAUAGAUGGCAGAUCCCAUAGGGUGGGGGUCCCAUAGGGUGGGGGGGCCCAUAGAUGGCAGAUCCCAUAGGGUGGGGGGGUCCCAUAGAUAAGAGAUCCCAUAGGGGUGGGGGGGCCCAUAGAUGGCAGAUCCCAUAGGGUGGGGGUUCCCAUAGGGUGGGGGGGCUCAUAGAUGGGAGAUCCCAUAGGGUGGGGGGGUCCCAUAGAUAAGAGAUCCCAUAGGAUGGGGGGGUCCCAUAGAUGGCAGAUCCCAUAGGGUGGGGUGGCCCCAUAGAUGGCAGAUCCCAUAGGGUGGGGGUCCCAUAGGGUGUGGGGGUCCCCAUAGACGGCAGAUCCCAUAGGGUGGGGGAUCCUAUGGGUGGGGGGGUCCCAUAGAUGUCAGAUCCCAUAGGGUGGGGG